rnacentral:rRNA from 1 species
UAACACGAAGUGAGUGGCGAACGGGUGAGUAACACGUGGGUAACCUGCCCAGAAGUAGGGGAUAACACCUGGAAACAGAUGCUAAUACCGUAUAACAGAGAAAACCGCAUGGUUUUCUUUUAAAAGAUGGCUCUGCUAUCACUUCUGGAUGGACCCGCGGCGUAUUAGCUAGUUGGUGAGGUAAAGGCUCACCAAGGCAGUGAUACGUAGCCGACCUGAGAGGGUAAUCGGCCACAUUGGGACUGAGACACGGCCCAGACUCCUACGGGAGGCAGCAGUAGGGAAUCUUCCACAAUGGACGCAAGUCUGAUGGAGCAACGCCGCGUGAGUGAAGAAGGGUUUCGGCUCGUAAAGCUCUGUUGUUAAAGAAGAACGUGGGUAAGAGUAACUGUUUACCCAGUGACGGUAUUUAACCAGAAAGCCACGGCUAACUACGUGCCAGCAGCCGCGGUAAUACGUAGGUGGCAAGCGUUAUCCGGAUUUAUUGGGCGUAAAGCGAGCGCAGGCGGUCUUUUAAGUCUAAUGUGAAAGCCUUCGGCUCAACCGAAGAAGUGCAUUGGAAACUGGGAGACUUGAGUGCAGAAGAGGACAGUGGAACUCCAUGUGUAGCGGUGAAAUGCGUAGAUAUAUGGAAGAACACCAGUGGCGAAGGCGGCUGUCUGGUCUGCAACUGACGCUGAGGCUCGAAAGCAUGGGUAGCGAACAGGAUUAGAUACCCUGGUAGUCCAUGCCGUAAACGAUGAUUACUAAGUGUUGGAGGGUUUCCGCCCUUCAGUGCUGCAGCUAACGC